rnacentral:lncRNA from 1 species
UUGGAUAUAAACAAAAGAAUAGCAACAAACGUGAUUGAAACAAAGCAAAUGAUUUUACUGAUAUGGAAAGCUUACAACUCGAUAAACAAACUGAGAACUACAAAAAGUAAUAAACACCUAUCUCAACUAGAGUGCUACAAAUCAGGGACGUGCACCAGAUUUGCUCAGCUUAUUUUCCAAGACUCCUAAACUAAAGCAACUGCUCUAUGACUAAGUCUGUGUCAACGUUUACAAACCAAAGACACCUGACUUUAUUUAUCGACUAAGACACAGAAUAAAACAAUUAAAUGUUUAGAUUAAAAAUAAACCCAACAUACUCCCCCCUAAUCUAAACAUCUCCAAGUUCCCUGACUCCCAACAAACUCCUCAUCUUCUCAAAUUUUGCAACUGCUAACGCCUUUGUCAGAAUAUCAGCACGUUGCUCAUUUGUACUGACAUGUUUAAUAACAAUCAACCCUUGCUCAACACAAUCUCGAAUAAAAUGAUACCUCAAGUCAAUGUGUUUGCUCCUGCCAUGAAAAACCGGGUUGCGUGCUAGAUCAACUGCUGAACGAUUGUCAAUAUACAGAGUGACAGGUCCUGGUUUGACGUCCGUAACAUGGCUGAGAAGUCGUUGGAGCCAUAUUGCUUGACAAGCAGCAGCCGUUGCUGCCAUAAACUCGGCCUCACACGAAGACAAAGCCACGCACCUCUGUUUUUGAGAAACCCAAGUGAUCAGAUUUUCAUCCAAGUAAAAAGCCAUCCCUCCUGUACUUUUCCUAUCAUCCAAACUCCCAGCCAUAUCACUAUCCGAGAAGCCAGCCAAGAUAUAAUUUCCACGACCUCGCUUGUAAACCAGCCCAUAAUUUAGAGUUCCUUUCACGUACCUGAAAAUUCGUUUCACAGCACUUAAAUGGAGUACAGUUGGUCUCUCCAUGUAUCGACUGACUAUCCCCACGGCGUAAGCUAUAUCCGGGCGUGUGUGUACCAAGUAUCGUAACCCACCAACCAUGCUCUUGUAUUGUGUAGAAUUCACAGGGGUUCCAUUUUUGUCAGCAUGAAGUUGUAGUUAAUGCUCCAUGGGAAACUUCACAGCGUUGCAUUCAAGUAAACCUGCUUUCUCAAGAAUUUUUCUUGCAUAUGAAGUCUGUUUCACCUCGAUAAACCCACUGCCCUGAAUGACCUCCAAACCCAAAUAAUACGACAAUUUUCCGAGGUCAGACAUGUCGAAUUCACGACUCAUCUCCCCCUUGAAUUUGACAAUGUCUGACAGAUUGGACCCCGUAAUAAUAAGAUCAUCUACAUAGACGCCAACAAUCAAACAAUCCGAACCAACACGCUUUGUGUAAACAGCAUGCUCAAAUGGACAUUUAGUGAAGCCCAAAGUUAACAAGUACUGAUUCAACCUUGAAUACCAGGUCCUUGGAGCUUGGCGAAGCCCAUAUAAUGCUUUAAGAAGUCGAUAAACCUUGUGUUCAUACCCUUUCUGCACAUAGCCCUUUGGUUGUGUGACAUAAACUUCUUCUAAAAGAACACCAUUGAGAAAAGCGGACUUGACAUCAAGAUGAUGAAUUUCCCAAUCAUUUUUGGCUGCCAACGCAAGCAACAAACGGACUGUUUCCAGCCGUGUAACGGGAGCAAAAACCUCUUCAAAGUCAAUGCCUUGACGCUGAACGUAUCCUUUUGCCACGAGGCGAGCUUUGUGUUUUGUGACAGCCCCGGUUUGAUCUUUCUUCACUUUAUACACCCAUUUAAGAUCGAUAGGUUUUCGUCCUGAAGGAAGAUCUGUUAGUUCCCACGUUUGGUUUUUUUCGAUGGCAGCAAUCUCGCUGUUCAUUGCCUCCUGCCAGACCUGUUCUUUGGCAGCCUGUUCAUAACAAACAGGCUCAUCAAUGCCCAUAAGUAGUAACUCCUCUUCGAGUUCAACUUCAGUAGUUUGAUCAUAAAUAUCUUGAAUGGGACGAAAAUUGCGGGGUUGUUCACUUUCAGCAUCCGUAUCACCGGAACGUGCAGGGUCUGUCUCCAUUUGAUGUUGCACUGGUGUAUGUACAACAGGUGACGUGGGAGUCUCAUCCGUGUCUUCAAAUGAGCACUCCACUAUAAAUUGUGGUGUCACCUGUGCAGUACUAGAAAAAUUAUUCUCCCAAGGCCAGGAUUUAUCCUCAUGAAAGACUACAUCACGACUGACUUGGACUUUGCCAGUGAGAGGAUCAUACAAACGGUACGCCUUUGUACCAGGUUCACGACCAAAAUGUACCACCAUUCGGCUACGUUCAUCAAGCUUCUUCGUAUAAACAGAGGGCACUUUCAUGUACGCAAUGCAUCCAAAGACUCUCAAGAAUUCAACACUUGGUUUCCUAUCAAACCAUGCUUCAUAUGGAGUAAUAGUGGACAUCGAUCUAGUGGGUAGUUUGUUCAACAUGUAAACGGCAUGGCGGACAGCUUCUCCCCAAUACAUUUGUGGUACUUUUUUUUCAGACAGCAAACUCCGUGCCAUGGCAACUACUGUUCGGUUACGGCGUUCUACCACGCCAUUUUGUUGAGGUGUGUAGGGCGCCGUGUAGUGCCUUAGUAUUCCAUUAUCAUCACAAAACUUCUGAAAAUCUCUUGAACAAAACUCGCCUCCACGAUCUGUUCUGAGGACUUGAAUACCUUGUUUAGCACCAUUUUCCACCAACUGCUUGAAUUGUUUGAAGUAAUGGAGAGCUUCGUCCUUCGUUUUCAGCAUAUAUACCCACAUCAUUCGGGUAUAAUCAUCAACCAAUAACAUAAAGUACCGGUUACCAGCCGGAGUGGAGGGUGUAAUUGGACCACACAAGUCUAAAUGAAUUAAUUGUAGAGCAACUUUAGCAGAGAAAUCAGUUUGAGAAGGAAAUGGCUUACGAGUUUGUUUUGCCAUGAGACAGCCACUACAAGUCUCCUUUGGUUGAUUGAAUGUAGGUAACCCGUGAGCCAUACCAUGUUUCGACAUCAGUUGCAUAGAUUUAAAGUUCACGUGACCGAAGCGUUUGUGCCAUAACUGGGUAGUCUCUUCUCCCUUUGUCAGCAAACACUCUUGUUGCGAUGCUUCGAUAUAAAUCUUAUAUAGUCGGUUCUCAGAUCUCUUCACCUGCAUGAGGAGUCGCCCACAACUAUCGAAAACGCAUAAGUGCUCUCCACCAAUCUCUACUCUGUUCCCUUCUUCCGUUAACUGGCCUAGACUUAUGAUGUUACUCCGAAGCGUAGGAAUGUAAUAUACCCCCUGCAUCACUCGUGUUUCACCAUUCUUACAUACAAGUCUGAUCGAACCCUUUCCCUCGAUUUUUACCAAAGAUCCAUCACCAAAUUUCACUUCUCCUUUAAUAGUUUUGUCUAGUGUUUCAAAUUUCUCUCGUCUUCCCGUCAUAUGAUUGCUGGCACCAUUAUCAAGAUACCAGGUGUUGCUCUCCAUUCCACCAUCAUCACUUGAUUUCGUGUCCUCGGUGAAUGCCAACGUUCCACUCUCACACAUAGCCAUCAAUAAUGCUGGUUCAUUAUCAUUUAUUUGUGUCAGGUUCGCCUCUCCUUGCUGUUUCUUGAGCUUUGACGGUUUUCGACAUUCAGCCGCAAAAUGGCCAUAUCCCCCACAGUUAAAACACUUCACUUGGCUCCUAUCACGAACCAAACGGUUGUCCCUCCUACGGUAAUCUCUUCCACCCCCAGUGGAGACAUUCUUCCCACUCCUCUUUAGCCAUUCCUCUCUUGUCAGCAACAAUUUGCCCUCCUCAUUCUCCCUUUUCUGCCACUCAUCCUCGGUUAGCAGAAGUUGCUGUCCCUCACUGCUUUCACCUGGUCCUUGCAAGCGUUCUUCGUGAGCUCGCAAAGAACCAACUACCUCCUCCACUGACAUGGAUUUCAAAUUCCCAAAUUGCUCAAUGGCUGAUGCAAUUUGUAAAAAUUUGGUUGGAACAGCUCUUAACAGUUUUUUCACCACAUAUUCCUCCUCAAUUGUUUCUCCCAAUGCCCUGAUUUUUGUGACCAGGCCAUUUAGUCUCAUACAGAAAUCAUCGAUUUGUUCCGAAUCCUUCAUCUUCAAUGACUCGAAUUCUGCCUUAAGUGUUUGUGCUUUGGCUUGUUUUACCUUAUCCGCUCCCAAGCACAUAAUCUUAAUAGCAGCCCAGGCAUCCUUAGACGUCUUCUUCUCUGCAAUCGACAAAAGUAUGUCAUCAGAGAUGCCUUGGUACAUGAUAGCCAUUGCACGCUUGUCAGUCUUCUCCUCAGCCACAGCCUUAGGAUCUUUCGAUUCAAUCGCUUCCCACACCCCAUAAGCUUGCAUAAUCACUUUCAUCUUCAUAGCCCAGGUGGUGUAGUUUGUUUUUGUCAACAUUGGAUAACUCAAGCCAAACGACCCUUCUUUGCCCUUACUCGACUCCAUCUCUGCCUUGUUCGUGACUCACCAGGCAACCUGGCUCUGAUACCAGAUGUUGGAUAUAAACAAAAGAAUAGCAACAAACGUGAUUGAAACAAAGCAAAUGAUUUUACUGAUAUGGAAAGCUUACAACUCGAUAAACAAACUGAGAACUACAAAAAGUAAUAAACACCUAUCUCAACUAGAGUGCUACAAAUCAGGGACGUGCACCAGAUUUGCUCAGCUUAUUUUCCAAGACUCCUAAACUAAAGCAACUGCUCUAUGACUAAGUCUGUGUCAACGUUUACAAACCAAAGACACCUGACUUUAUUUAUCGACUAAGACACAGAAUAAAACAAUUAAAUGUUUAGAUUAAAAAUAAACCCAACA